GGAGAAAUUGCCCAGGCUGGUGGGGGUGGUCGCCGAGACGGUGGACAGGAGUGCAGCCUGGGGGACUGCACCCAGGACAGCACCAGCGAUACGGACCCAGAGCAGAGCCAGAGCCCGUGGAUGUGACCACCACCCUGAGAUGUUCAUGAAAAGCCCCUCCCAUGGAAUGACCACUGAGCCACCAGCCCCACGCAGAAGGCGCGGCCCUGACCUGGAGGCCUCUGUCCUCACAAGCAGCCGGAUGCGCAGCCCAGCCGCAGCAGCCCCCAGACCAUCGAUUAUCUGGCCGGAGAGCAGCUUCCGGGUCCAGCCCCAGGCUCGGCCGGGGCCAGCGGGGUCGAGUCCCAGAGCCCUUGGUGCCAGCCCCUCCCACUCUCUCCCCUCAGG